rnacentral:rRNA from 1 species
ACGAAGGGUGCAAGCGUUACUCGGAAUUACUGGGCGUAAAGCGCACGUAGGCGGCUUAGCAAGUCGGAUGUGAAAUCCCUCGGCUCAACCAAGGAAGUGCAUCCGAAACUGCUGAGCUUGAGUACGAAAGAGGAUCGCGGAAUUCCCGGUGUAGAGGUGAAAUUCGUAGAUAUCGGGAGGAACACCAGUGGCGAAGGCGGCGAUCUGGGUCGAUACUGACGCUGAGGUGCGAAAGCGUGGGGAGCAAACAGGA